rnacentral:rRNA from 1 species
GCGAUGCCGCGUGCGGGAAGAAGCCCUUCGGGGUGUAAACCGCUGUCGGGGGGGACGAAGGGACCGUGGGCUAAUACCUCACGGUCUUGACGGUACCCCCAGAGGAAGGGACGGCUAACUACGUG